CAACACCUCAUCUUCACAGACAAAGUUGGCUAUGGAGUAGACUCACAGCAUUCCAUGAUAACUAGUUAGAAUGCAGCAGUGUUCCAAAUGGGCCAAACCUUGUCCAGACAGGAGCAACAGGCAGCUCAGGGUCCCAGGAACACUCACCAGCUGGCAGCCCCUCGGGAAGCGGCUGGGCUUUCCACGUGUUCCUGCAUGCUGGGCACACUCUGGCUUAGAUGCCCUCUUACAGCUGCAGGUGCUGUGGCGUGGUCCUCAGCCCUGAGGAUGUGGGAGGAGAGGAAGCAGUCCUGUGCAUGCAGGGGAUGAGUCACGGGAUUUUGCAGAGAGAUAUGGCAAGAGGAUUGUUUAUCUUGGACUCUUUGCAGUGCCAUGGCUCUGAGGAAGCUCUCUGCAGCUACACACUCUACGAAGAGUGUUUCUCAACCUCAAUGGUCACUAUUUUGAAAGCCUUUUAUUUCUUACAGUCAUUACAUACUUUUGAUUUAGCACUGGGUCUUGGCCAUUCUCACAUGAUUGUAUUAGUCAGGGUCCAACCAGGAAACGGAAACUGCCCAGAUUAUUUAAGACAGAGGAUAUUUAAUGCAAGAAAGUGGCAACACAUGGUGGAAAAGGCUGAGAAAGCAAAUAAACAGUCAACACAGCGACGAGCAGCUUCAGGAAGCUUCUUAUCCUCACCUAGGUAGGGUGAGGACAAGAGGAGAAGGUGGGCCAGGCACCAUGACUCACGCCUGUAAUCCCAUCACUUUGGGAGGUCAAGGCGGGCAGAUCACCUGAGGUCAUGAGUUCGAGACCAGCCUGGCCAACAUGGUGAAACCUCAUCUCUGCUGGAUUCUUUCUGCCCUCUACUGUCUGACCUCCCAGGAGGAGUGUCUUCCAUUGACUAAACCAGCAGAGUUUGUGACAGGUGACAGCAGUUUGAGGCCAGGUGACAGCACAGUUUGAGAUUCAGGACCUUCAGAAGUCAGAGCCCUGCCACACUGAGGAGGGCAGGGAAGGGGAAGGCGCAGCUCUGGGGACAAACUGCUGUCAGCCAGCAUAGUCAUCUGUGCCCAGGGCUAGCCUUGCUCUGCAAUUUAUGAAUGUAGAGUUUUUAAUUGAACCUUCCUGCAUACGUUUUACACAUCUAGUUGGUAUAAUUCAUCCUUCCAGCCACAUUACUCAGGCCUUUAUUUUAGACUUUGGGUAGCUGUUGAACUACCUUGGAGAUUACACAGGAAUAACCAGCACUCAGUCAACUCACUGGUGUUUGGAAC
rnacentral:lncRNA from 1 species